rnacentral:rRNA from 1 species
UACGUAGGGACCAAGCGUUGUUCGGAUUUACUGGGCGUAAAGGGCGCGUAGGCGGCGAAUCAAGUCAGUUGUGAAAUCUCCGAGCUUAACUCGGAACGGUCAACUGAUACUGUUUUGCUAGAGUGCAGAAAGGGCAACCGGAAUUCUUGGUGUAGCGGUGAAAUGCGUAGAUAUCAAGAGGAACACCUGAGGCGAAGGCGGGUUGCUAGGCUGACACUGACGCUGAAGCGCGAAAGCUAGGGUAGCAAACAGG